AACGACCGCUAGCGGCAUGCCUAACACAUGCACGUCGAACGAGUCCUUCGGGUCUAGUGGCUCACGGGUACGUAAAGCGUGGGAACCUGCCCUUAGGUUCGGAAUAACUCUCCGAAAGGGGUGCUAAUACCGGUUAAUGUUUUUGUUCCAAAGAUUGAUCGCCUUUGGAUGGGCCCGCGUUGGAUUAGCUAGUUGGUAGGGUAAAAGCCUACCAAGGCGACGAUCCAUAGCUGGUCUGAGAGGAGGAUCAGCCACACUGGGUCUGAGACACGGCCCCGACUCCUACGGGAGGCAGCAGUAGGGAAUAUUGGACAAUGGGCGAAAGCCUGAUCCAGCAAUGCCGCGUGAGUGAUGAAGGCCUUAGGGUUGUAAAGCUCUUUUACCCGGGAUGAUAAUGACAGUACCGGGAGAAUAAGCACCGGCUAACUCCGUG
rnacentral:rRNA from 1 species